rnacentral:lncRNA from 1 species
UUUUUUUUUAUGAUAGUCACACACAGAGAGAGAGAGAGAGGCAGAGACACAGGCAGAGGGAGAAGCAGGCUCCAUGCACCGGGAGCCCGUAGUGGGAUCCAACCCCGGGUCUCCAGGAUCGCGCCCUGGGCCAAAGGCAGGCGCCAAACCGCUGCGCCACCCAGGGAUCCCACUUGGCCAGUUUUCAAAAAAGAAUAAAUGUUUGUUAGUGAAUAAAUGAUCAAUUAAUACAUCCUUUUGGACAAUCAGACAACUAUACAGAUGAUUUUACAAUAAAGAAACAGCAGUAGCAAAGAAUAUGUUUCUUAAAAAUAUAGAGCCAUAUACAAGACCAAAGAAAUAAGGAUGUGCUGGUGAGGAAUAGGAUCAGGAAUUAAAAAAAAAAAAAAAAAACCUUACCAAAGACUGAGGAAAAAAAAGACACACCUAUAGUUUCUGAGGCUGUAGGCAUUUAUAAAAGGUCAAUGUAAACAUUGAGUGAUGGCAGAAAAUGACUAGUAUUCCUGUAGAAACUCAAAUUCAAGAAGCCUCAAUUUCUGCACAUGCCUGAAACAUGUGAUGAGACCAUCUUUCAUAACUUAAAGGUGCUGCCCUCUAGAAUCAGCUGCCUUACCCUUACCUCAUUCCUCUUAAGCACCUGGCAUUGAUCCUCUCAUCUCUUCUUUCCCUAUCAUUCAGGGUACUUUCCCAUGCUCUAAUAGUGGAAUUACAUCAGACUAAAAAUGAAAGACCUGGGAAAAUAAGGAGAAAGAAUUGGCCAUGUUGUUGUUACUUAAGUGUUUGGAUACAGCCACAUUGUAAUCAGGAUAGAAACUAUCAUAAAACAAGAAAAAGUCUUGGUGAAUAUCUGGCAGAUGGGAUAAAGAAAGCUGCUCAUUUCAAUUUUCACAUUUCAAGGAAAGUUAGAGCCUCACCAAAUAUUCCUAGUAGAAAACAGAGACACACCCAAGACCAGAUGUUGAAUGAAGGGCGGGGUGCACUUAUCCACCCAGACCAAAUUCUGAUAAUUCUCCAACAUCACAGUUAUGUACAAAUCUCUUUGAGCAGGGUUUAGUAAUCCUCAUUUUCCUUGGAGAAACCAAUGGACACAUCUUUGAAUGUCACUGAUCCCUGAAAUGACAUUUAAAAGAGCCUAAUUAAAUAAUAGGAAGUUGGGAGGCAUAGAAAGUAGCUGAUCAGAACUCUGUGUCUCUUAAGAGCAGCUUAGCUAAAUCACUAAAGGGCAAUAUUGUGACAUACUAUUUGUUCAUUAAAAUUUGGGUUUAAGAAAACUUUUAAUGAUAAGGGAAAAGUUCAAGGUAAACAAGGUUAUUAAAGAGAAUUGAAUACCUCUCACAGUUGUUUCUAGAACCCUACAUAUGAAUAUAGUGAACAUACCCAGACUCUGUUGAAAGCUCCUUCUAAUCAAUUCUACUUUAGGCAAUCUAAAGUAGAUUACCUUUAGUGAAUCUCUAGGAAGAAUAUCAGGCUAAUUCACUCUUCUUGACAAAAUGAAAUGCAGUCUCCCUUUUCUUGAAUCUGGGUUGGACCUACAACUUGUUUUAAUCAACAAAAUGUGACAAAAGUGACACUGUGCCAGCUCCAGGUCAGAUACAUAGACGGUUGUUUUGCCCUCAUGGAAGCUCAGGGAAGGAGUCCAGCCAUCUCAUUGGAAAGGCCAGUAAGAGGUCAAAUGAAGAGGGGUAGAUUCUGAGACUACAUGACAAAAAGCUGAGAAACCCAACUGACAGCAAAAAUAGAGGUUAAUAAAUAAAUAAAACUAAUAAAUAUAUUAGUUUUAGGUGUAUCUACAGGCCUGGAUACAGGACCACAUAUAGGACUUCAAGUUACGUAUCACACUCCUGAAUGAAGAGUCUUGGGUAUUCCAAGGCAGCAGGUAUUAAAUAACAUAAAUCCUGCCCAGUUUGAAUUCCUCACUGCCGCAAACAGAAAGUAAUAAAAUGGUCCUUGCUCUAGCUAGUACUACAUUUUAGGUAGAGUUUGUUAUGCAGCAAAAAAUGUUAAAGACAUUUAAAAAGAAAACCUGUGGCCCAAAAUGGUGUCACCAAAAUGGCGUCACUUAGGGUAAGUCAACAAAUCAGGGCUUACUAACCAACUUCAAUGCACUUUUAUCCUCUCCCAGAAAUGUAGUCUUAACUUAUCAGGCAGGAACUUUCUGGUCACCACCACAACUGUAAUCUCACAUGGGUCCUCUAUCUUCCAAAGUAAGAAGAGAUAAUCCACCUAAUAAGACCUGCCCUUCCCCCAAGGAAAGAUGACCUUGUCUGGAACAACUCUAUCUUUUCUUUUGCUAGUAACUUUCUCAACCCCUCUCUUUCCCAUAAAAACCCUCCACAUUAUAGCACUCCUCAGUGCUCCCCUGUACUCACUAGAUAGUUUACUACCAGAUUCACGAAUUCUUUAAUAAAGACAAUUAGAGGGGAACCUGGAUGGCUCAGUCUGUUAAGCAUCUGCCUUUGGCUCAGGUCAUCAUCUCAGGGUCUUGGGAUCCAGCCCUACUUCUGACUCCCUGCUCAGCCAGGAGCCUGCUUCUCCCUUUCCCUCUGCCUGCUGCUCCCCCUGCUUGUGCUCUGUCAAAUAAAGUCUUUUUAAAAAUCAAUUAGAUCUUCAAUAUACUCAGCUGAAUUUUGUUUUAUAGCAGUGCCUCUGAAACUGGAUAAGUUUGACCUCAUCUGCUUCUAUCCGAGCCUGCAACAGGAGCAAAGAUUCGGUUCCAUCUUGAGCUGCUUACGGAGCAUGAGUCAGGGAAGGCCUGAGGAUGCCUAGCUUACGGCUAGUCUUCCUUUCCAAUAGUCAUCACACUAUGAUGAUACACAAUGGUUUUAAUCACCUAUCCUCUCCAGAUACACCUCCACCGCACCGUCUGCUUGUAUCACUAUCACAGAAAGACGACACUUGGGAAAUUUUACUGGAACUUGGAAUGUGCAGAUCUGAGCACCCCACUCUCCCCCGCAGCCCCGCCCAAGUCUCAUCCCGGUCUUUCUCCAAGGAGAGGAAGCCACGUACCGAACCCAAAUCUCCCAGGUUCCGGGCCAACCGAGGGGCCCCUUCACAGCCCGGCACCACCCACGUGCCACGGUGGCUUGUGUGUCUCCUAAGCCGCGGCGUGCGCAGGCGUGCGUCUACCGCCGUAGUCCUGGAAUGCUGAACACGACACAGACCUGACCAGUUAGAGGCCGAAUUCGGCAGCGAGGAAUGGAUGUAGAACUGGAAAUGCCUGGGUUCGUAAACGAGCUAGAAGCCUUUAUCCAAAAAAGCUUGAUCUCCUCUGCCGUGUGUCGGGGCUGGCAUGGUGGGGGAGUUUUCGCGGCUAGGAACACGCUUGCCUCCUGCUGGCU